AUUGAACGCUGGCGGCAGGCCUAACACAUGCAAGUCGAACGGUAGCACAGAGGAGCUUGCUCCUUGGGUGACGAGUGGCGGACGGGUGAGUAAUGUCUGGGAAACUGCCCGAUGGAGGGGGAUAACUACUGGAGACGGUAGCUAAUACCGCAUAACGUAUUCGGACCAAAGUGGGGGACCUUCGGGCCUCACACCAUCGGAUGUGCCCAGAUGGGAUUAGCUAGUAGGUGGGGUAAUGGCUCACCUAGGCGAAGAUCCCUAGCUGGUCUGAGUGGAUGACCAGCCACACUGGAAGUGAGACACGGUCCAGACUCCUACGGGAGGCAGCAGUGGGGAAUAUUGCACAAUGGGCGCAAGCCUGAUGCAGCCAUGCCGCGUGUAUGAAGAAGGCCUUCGGGUUGUAAAGUACUUUCGGCGGGGAGGAAGGCGUUAAGGUUAAUAACCUUGGCGAUUGACGUUACCCGCAGAAGAAGCACCGGCUAACUCCGUGCCAGCCGCCGCCGUAA
rnacentral:rRNA from 1 species